rnacentral:rRNA from 1 species
UACAGAGGGGGCAAGCGUUGUUCGGAAUUACUGGGCGUAAAGGGCGCGUAGGCGGCCUUCUAAGUCGAACGUGAAAUCCCCGGGCUCAACCCGGGAACUGCGUCCGAUACUGGAAGGCUUGAAUCCGGGAGAGGGAUGCGGAAUUCCAGGUGUAGCGGUGAAAUGCGUAGAUAUCUGGAGGAACACCGGUGGCGAAGGCGGCAUCCUCGGACCGGCAUUGACGCUGAGGCGCGAAAGCCAGGGGAGCGAACGGG